GCAAUAGUUAAAACUUUCAACAACGGAUCUCUUGGUUCUGGCAUCGAUGAAGAACGCAGCGAAAUGCGAUAAGUAAUGUGAAUUGCAGAAUUCAGUGAAUCAUCGAAUCUUUGAACGCACAUUGCGCCCUCUGGUAUUCCGGGGGGCAUGCCUGUUCGAGCGUCAUU
rnacentral:rRNA from 1 species